AUUACUCCUACGGGAGGCAGCAGUGGGGAAUAUUGGACAAUGGGCGGAAGCCUGAUCCAGCCAUGCCGCGUGUGUGAAGAAGGCCUUUUGGUUGUAAAGCACUUUAAGCGAGGAGGGGGCUCCUUUAGUUAAUACCUGAAGUGAGUGGACGUUACUCGCAGAAUAAGCACCGGCUAACUCUGUGCCAGCAGCCGCGGUAAUA
rnacentral:rRNA from 1 species